rnacentral:ncRNA from 1 species
GGGGAUGACGUCAAAUCAUCAUGCCCCUUAUGACCUGGGCUACACACGUGCUACAAUGGGUGGUACAACGAGCAGCGAGACCGCGAGGUCAAGCGAAUCUCUAAAAACCAUCCUCAGUUCGGAUUGUAGGCUGCAACUCGCCUACAUGAAGCUGGAAUCGCUAGUAAUCGCGGAUCAGCACGCCGCGGUGAAUACGUUCCCGGGCCUUGUACACACCGCCCGUCACACCAUGAGAGUUUGUAACACCCAAAGCCGGUAGGACAACCGCAAGGAGUCAGCCGUCUAAGGUGGGACAAAUGAUUAGGGUGAAGUCGUAACAAGGUAGCCGUAGGAGAACCUGCGGCUGGAUCACCUCCUUU